UACGAAGGGGGCUAGCGUUGCUCGGAAUCACUGGGCGUAAAGCGCACGUAGGCGGCUUUUAAGUCAGGGGUGAAUCCUAGGAGCUCAACUCCAGAACUGCCUUUGAUACUGAGAGCUUGAGUCCGGGAGAGGUGAGUGGAACUGCGAGUGUAGAGGUGAAAUUCGUAGAUAUUCGCAAGAACACCAGUGGCGAAGGCGGCUCACUGGCCCGGUACUGACGGCUGAGGUGCGAAAGCGUGGGGAGCAAAC
rnacentral:rRNA from 1 species